rnacentral:lncRNA from 10 species
GUUCAACUAAGUUCUGAAAAUAGAAGCAACUAAGGAAGGUAAUGGAGGAAGGAAGAACAUCUCAAAGGACAGAUGUCAAUAUACUUGAAAGAAAUGCUGACAGAGAAGAACCAGGCUCAAUCAACAAACAUUAUCACCUCCAGAGGGACCUACCUGGUAAAACUCAGUGGGAUUUCAGAAUUCCUAUUGGCCACCCACUGCUCUUUGCCUCACAUUUCUUACUUUUCUGAAUGUGUGUACAUUGUGUUUAUCCGCUCCUAUUUCAGCAUUUUACACGUUGUGUGUGGAGGGCAAAUCACAUUUGUAUUUAGCUCAUAGACCACCAGAUGAAGAGAAGCAUCAUGUGCAAUCUUAUAUAAAUCAUUGGAUCCUGAAUUUCAAUCCUGAUUGUCAUUAAAUGUCUUUUGGAUAUCCUAGUAUCUCUGUUACAUUAUUUCCCACACAAAGGUAUAUAAAUUAAUGCAUCCAAGAGGGCAGACUGUGGUUAAUUGCCCUGUUGAUUUCAGCAUAUCACCCUUCCCUUUAUCCACACCCCAUGUCAUGUUAUUGGCUGUUCUUUCUAGUAAGAGGUUGAGUCUGUUUUCUCAUCUGUGGAAUUCGGGAGUACCAUUUGAUUUGUUUAGGAUAAUCAAUUAAGCAGAGUGAUGAUGUGUCUAUUCCAGUACUGGGGCUUAAGAUGUCUUGUGAGUUAUUAUUUGCCCUCCUGCACUUUUGCCACUGCCUGAGAAGGACAUUUAUGAACUAGCCUGCUGGACUCAGGAAAAGGAUGAAACAUGAACAAGAAGGAGGUACAAAGCUGAAUCAUCCCAAGGCUAGAUGUAACCAAAUUCCGCAUUCUAUCCACCCACAGAUGCUAAAGUGAUUCAGCCAUGCAUAUUAGAGCUGCA